GACGGAGGAUGCAAGCGUUUAUCCGGAAUGAUUGGGCGUAAAGCGUCUGCAGGUGGCAGUUCAAGUCUGCUGUCAAAGACCGGGGCUUAACUUCGGAAAGGCAGUGGAAACUGAACAGCUAGAGUAUGGUAGGGGCAGAGGGAAUUCCUGGUGUAGCGGUGAAAUGCGCAGAUAUCAGGAGGAACACCGGUGGCGAAGGCGGGUCUCUGGGCCGUAACUGACGCUGAGACACGAAAGCGUGGGUAGCAAACAGG
rnacentral:rRNA from 1 species